CAUGGGAAGAGAUUAGUGGCGAGAAGCGCCCACCCGGGAAGAGGAAGAAGCGCGAGAUACUGUGGGAUCCUAAGUUAAUUGGUCCUUCUUAAAGGCCAUGGGUAAAAGACUGAGAGCAUUUGUUCUUGAACUGUUUGAAAACACUGAACUGAGAUCUUCUUAUCAUCAGAGAGUCACACCAAGGAAUGUGAUUUCACGCUCCCUGAAGUCAACUUGUCAAGACCAUCUUUUUUCCAGAUGUGGGAAGGAUUGUCACAUAGCAUACUGUGAGGCAGAAGUAUCCAACUAGCACAUUCUGUCCCGAUGAGGAAUCCGCAGAUAAAGUCCCAGAGGACAGACUUUACUCUAAGAAGACUGUUAAAAGGCAC
ensembl:lncRNA